rnacentral:rRNA from 1 species
UACGUAGGGGGCAAGCGUUGUCCGGAUUCAUUGGGCGUAAAGAGCGUGUAGGCGGCCAGAUAGGUCUGCUGUGAAAACUCGAGGCUCAACCUCGAGAUGUCGGCGGAAACCAUUUGGCUAGAGUCCGGAAGAGGAAAGUGGAAUUCCUGGUGUAGCGGUGAAAUGCGCAGAUAUCAGGAAGAACACCCGUGGCGAAGGCGGCUUUCUGGGACGGUACUGACGCUGAGACGCGAAAGCGUGGGGAGCGAACAGG